rnacentral:rRNA from 1 species
CAGCCGCCGCGGUAAUACGAAGGGUGCAAGCGUUACUCGGAAUUACUGGGCGUAAAGCGUGCGUAGGUGGUUGUUUAAGUCUGCUGUGAAAGCCCUGGGCUCAACCUGGGAAUUGCAGUGGAUACUGGGCAACUAGAGUAAGGUAGAGGAUAGUGGAAUUUCCGGUGUAGCAGUGAAAUGCGUAGAGAUCGGAAGGAACAUCUGUGGCGAAGGCGACUAUCUGGGCCAUUACUGACACUGAGGCACGAAAGCGUGGGGAGCAAACAGGAUUAGAUACCCGCGUAGUCCCUGUCUCUUAUAA